UGGGGAAUAUUGGACAAUGGGCGAAAGCCUGAUCCAGCCAUGCCGCGUGAGUGACGAAGGCCUUAGGGUUGUAAAACUCUUUCGUCGGGGACGAUAAUGACGGUACCCGAAGAAGAAGCUCCGGCUAACUUCGUGCCAGCAGCCGCGGUAAUACGAAGGGAGCUAGCGUUGUUCGGAAUCAUUGGGCGUAAAGCGCACGUAGGCGGAUAGUUAAGUCAGGGGUGAAAUCCUGGGGCUCAACCCCAGAACUGCCUUUGAUACUGGCUGUCUCGAGGUCGAGAGAGGUUGGUGGAAUUCCUAGUGUAGAGGUGAAAUUCGUAGAUAUUAGGAAGAACACCAGUGGCGAAGGCGGCCAACUGGCUCGAUACUGACGCUGAGGUGCGAAAGCGUGGGGAGCAAACAGGAUUAGAUACCCGAGUAGUCCCUGAGCGGGCUGGCAAGGCGCAU
rnacentral:rRNA from 1 species